ensembl:miRNA
CUUAGGUCAGUGUUGGUAUGGUUUUCAUCAGGGUUUAUGCCACUGUGAUGGAGCGUUCUGACCUAAG